CUGUUCGAGCGUCAUUACAACCCUCAAGCUCAGCUUGGUAUUGGGUGCUACCGCUCUGGUACACCUCAAAAUCAGUGGCGGUGCCAUCUGGCUUCUAGCGUAGUAAUACUUUUCGCUAUGGAGCUCUGGGUGUGUGCUUGCCAUCAACCUUUAAUUUACUGGUUGACCUCGGAUCAGGUAGGGAUACCCGCUGAACUUAA
rnacentral:misc_RNA from 1 species